rnacentral:misc_RNA from 1 species
UAUCCAGUCGCUCACACUCACAUAUACGGGUGCAACUCUACGCAUCUGGUAACAUUGUGUUAUCUCAGAUUGCCAAGAACCGCUACCAACCACCUUACAAGACCGAUCGAAAUCUUGCUAAUCCUCCAUGGCCCUCAACAUCACAAGGAUCCCUAUCACCCGUGUCCUACACAUCUCCUUUGGUCUAGUGCUCAUGGUGUCCUUCGGUGCCUCGUUUCAACUGCUGGGAGUGCUCAGGUACAAGGCACUCCCUCGUUCCUUGGUUGAUUAUGAUCGCACUAACGUCUAUUCUGAAGGUACGUAGGAUGUAGGGUGAGGG